AAGAGACAGCGCCGCCGGCCGUGGGGAGCGGACGCAGUGAUUUGCUCCCCCUCGUGCAGCAACCCCCACACCCAGCACCAGGCCCCCAGAACUCUCCUUCCAGCUGAACUCCCUGGGAACAAGUCAGUUGGGCUGAUCACUGAACUCACAUUUCUGGACCUGAGGAGCCUGUUCCUCUCACGCCCUCACCUGGCUGAGCCGCAGUAGUUCUUCAGUGGCAAGCUUUAUGUCCUGACCCAGCUAAAGCUGCCAGUUGAAGAACUGUUGCCCUCUGCCCCUGGCUUCGAGGAGGAGGAGGAGCUGCUUUCCCCAUCAUCUGGAAGGUGACAGAAAUGGGCUGGGAAGGUCCGAACAGCAGGGUGGAUGAUACGUUUUGGGCAAGUUGGAGAGCCUUUGCCCAGAUUGGCCCAGCAAGGAGCGGUUUUAGAUUAGAGACACUGGCUGGAUUGAGGAGUAGAAGGCUCAAACAACCCAAGGCUUUCUGCCUCCGAGAUGUGGCACCAUAGUGCGGUGCCCUGUGGCUUCACCGCCCUACUUCCACCUCCGCCCAGCCUGUAAUGUUUAUAUAAGCAGCCUCAAGGACCAAGAACCAUCUGCGAAAGGACACACACAGGAAAUUCAUAAAAGAAAUCUGAAUGGAUAAAACCAUGAAAAAAAGUAUGCUUCAUUAGUAAUUAAAGAAAGGCAAAUAGAGCUGGAAGCAUUUUUCCCUUAGCAAACCAUAACAGAAAAAAAUAAGACCCAAUAUUGGCAAAGAGACUACUGAAAAAACAUUCCCAUACAUUGCGUGUGGGAGUAUACAUCGGUGCAGGCUUCCUGGAUGACAGUUGGGUGAUAUGUGUCAUGUGGCCUAAAAGCCUCCAUGUCAUUUGACCUACGAAUUCUAUCUUUGGGAAUUUAUCCUAAGAAAAUACUUAAGGAUUUAGUUAGUGAUAAGAUGUUCAUCCCAGCAUUGCAAUGGAGAAAAAUGGGAAGCAAUGGUUUGGUUGGGAAUUUAUUCCUUUUCUGCUGUAACGAAAGUUUGCAAUAGGGGAUUGCUUAAGUAAAUUAUUGUAUCUCCAUCCAGAUGGUGGAGUACCGCGCAGACAUUAAAAGUCAUGUAAAAGAACAUCUGACUGAAAGAAAAAUGCUCCUUGAAUAUUAAAAGGUUGUAAAAAUAGUGCAUGUUAUGUGAUUUCAAUUUUGUUUUUUAAAAUAUGGGUGUAUGCUUGUAUACGUAGAGCAGAUAAAAAAGACGGAAGGCAUACUAAAAAAUGUUGAGUGGUUAUCUUUGUAUGGUGGAACAAAGUCACUGUAAUUUUCAUCUUUGGUUUUUCUGUAAUUUCCAAAUUUUCCACAUUUUGUAUUUCAUAUAAUAUAAUUUAAGAGAUCAGUGUUAUUAUU
rnacentral:lncRNA from 10 species